GGUCUCCCAGUGCUUACCACAGGCAGCAAAUCCACAAGGGCUGGCUGUACAGAAGUGGGAGAGACAGAAGCAGAGACCCUGCGAUACACCCCAGCCAGGCCGACUCUCCCCUAGGCUGGAUCGUUAGCAGGGGCACACGC
rnacentral:snoRNA from 1 species